CAUUGCAGCAAGUGCCAAUGUCCCAAUCCACAGCCCAUCCAUUAACAGAAGUGUGAUUUCACUGUUUUGGAGUAUCAGAACCCGAUAGCUCCCGAGAGUUCUACAUUGUCCUUUUGGGUUUUCUUUCUUUCCUUCUGAGAAGGGGACACGGGAAAGGGUCCCCGACUUCAGCGCGCUAAACUGAACCAUCCUUUUAAGUCAGUCUCGGAGGCGUCCUCUCGCCAGCAACAGGACAGAAUUGUACCGUCCAAAUAAUUUGUCAUCAGUGGCCAACAAAUCAUAGGUUCCACUUUGGGCAUUUGGAAAGGACUCCUACAGUCAUUUACCUGUUCCUGAUUUCGAAGGAACUCAAGUGAUACUCAAUCAGACAUAAACUUGAAAAAUCACGUGUAAUGUGGCCCUUGACCAGUAUGUGGGGAUAUGUUC